GUCAAAAAGAUUAAGUUAUUAAGGGCGCACGGUGGAUGCCUUGGCACUAGAAGCCGACGAAGGACGUUACUAACGACGAUAUGCUUUGGGGAGCUGUAAGUAAGCUUUGAUCCAGAGAUUUCCGAAUGGGGAAACCCAGCACGAGUUAUGUCGUGUUAUCGAUAUGUGAAUACAUAGCAUAUCUGAAGGCAGACGCGGAGAACUGAAACAUCUUAGUACCCGCAGGAAGAGAAAGAAAAAUCGAUUCCCUGAGUAGCGGCGAGCGAAACGGGAAGAGCCCAAACCAACGAGCUUGCUUGUUGGGGUUGUAGGACACUCUAUACGGAGUUACAAAAGAACAGACUAGACGAAUCAUCUGGAAAGAUGAAUCAAAGAAGGUAAUAAUCCUGUAGUCGAAAGUUUGUUCACUCUUGAGUGGAUCCUGAGUACGACGGAACACGAGAAAUUCCGUCGGAAUCUGGGAGGACCAUCUCCCAAGGCUAAAUACUCUCUAGUGACCGAUAGUGAACCAGUACCGUGAGGGAAAGGUGAAAAGUACCCCGGAAGGGGAGUGAAAUAGAACUUGAAACCGUGUGCUUACAAGUAGUCAGAGCCCGUUAAUGGGUGAUGGCGUGCCUUUGUAGAAUGAACCGGCGAGUUACGAUUUGAUGCAAGGUUAAGCAGUGAAUGUGGAGCCGUAGCGAAAGCGAGUCUGAAUAGGGCGUUGAGUAUUUGGUCGUAGACCCGAAACCAGGUGAUCUACCCAUGACCAGGUUGAAGUUCAGGUAACACUGAAUGGAGGACCGAACCGACUUACGUUGAAAAGUGAGCGGAUGAGUUGUGGGUAGCGGAGAAAUUCCAAUCGAACCUGGAGAUAGCUGGUUCUCUCGAAAUAGCUUUAGGGCUAGCCUCAAGUGAUGAUUAUUGGAGGUAGAGCACUGUUUGGACGAGGGGCCCUUAUCGGGUUACCGAAUUCAGACAAACUCCGAAUGCCAAUCAAUUUAACUUGGGAGUCAGAACGCGGGUGAUAAGGUCCGUGUUCGAAAGGGAAACAGCCCAGGGACCACCAGCUAAGGUCCCAAAAUAUAUGUUAAGUGGAAAAGGAUGUGGCGUUGCCCAGACAACUAGGAUGUUGGCUUAGAAGCAGCCAUCAUUUAAAGAGUGCGUAAUAGCUCACUAGUCGAGUGACACUGCGCCGAAAAUGUACCGGGGCUAAACAUAUUACCGAAGCUGUGGAUUGUCCGUAAGGACAAUGGUAGGAGAGCGUUCUAAGGGCGUUGAAGCAUGAUCGCAAGGACAUGUGGAGCGCUUAGAAGUGAGAAUGCCGGUGUGAGUAGCGAAAGACGGGUGAGAAUCCCGUCCACCGAUUGACUAAGGUUUCCAGAGGAAGGCUCGUCCGCUCUGGGUUAGUCGGGUCCUAAGCUGAGGCCGAUAGGCGUAGGCGAUGGAUAACAGGUUGAUAUUCCUGUACCACCAUUAUUCGUUUUAAGCGAUGGGGGACGCAGUAGGAUAGGCGAAGCGUACGAUUGGAUUGUACGUCCAAGCAGUGAGAUUGAGUGUUAGGCAAAUCCGGCACUCUUAAGAUUGAGCUGUGAUGGGGAGAGGAAAUUGUUUCCUCGAGUCGUUGAUUUCACACUGCCAAGAAAAGCCUCUAGCUAGAAUUGUGGUGCCCGUACCGCAAACCGACACAGGUAGUCAAGAUGAGAAUUCUAAGGUGAGCGAGCGAACUCUCGUUAAGGAACUCGGCAAAAUGACCCCGUAACUUCGGGAGAAGGGGUGCUCUUUAGGGUUAACGCCCAGGAGAGCCGCAGUGAAUAGGCCCAAGCGACUGUUUAUCAAAAACACAGGUCUCUGCUAAACCGUAAGGUGAUGUAUAGGGGCUGACGCCUGCCCGGUGCUGGAAGGUUAAGAGGAGUGGUUAGCUUCUGCGAAGCUACGAAUCGAAGCCCCAGUAAACGGCGGCCGUAACUAUAACGGUCCUAAGGUAGCGAAAUUCCUUGUCGGGUAAGUUCCGACCCGCACGAAAGGCGUAACGAUUUGGGCACUGUCUCAACGAGAGACUCGGUGAAAUCAUAGUACCUGUGAAGAUGCAGGUUACCCGCGACAGGACGGAAAGACCCCGUGGAGCUUUACUGUAGUCUGAUAUUGAAAUUCGGCACAGCUUGUACAGGAUAGGUAGGAGCCUGAGAUACGUGAGCGCUAGCUUACGUGGAGGCGUUGGUGGGAUACUACCCUCGCUGUGUUGGAUUUCUAACCCGCACCAUUUAUCAUGGUGGGAGACAGUGUCAGAUGGGCAGUUUGACUGGGGCGGUCGCCUCCUAAAGAGUAACGGAGGCGCUCAAAGGUUUCCUCAGAAUGGUUGGAAAUCAUUCAUAGAGUGUAAAGGCAUAAGGAAGCUUGACUGCGAGACUUACAAGUCGAGCAGGGUCGAAAGACGGACUUAGUGAUCCGGUGGUUCCGCAUGGAAGGGCCAUCGCUCAACGGAUAAAAGCUACCCCGGGGAUAACAGGCUUAUCUCCCCAAGAGUUCACAUCGACGGGGAGGUUUGGCACCUCGAUGUCGGCUCAUCGCAUCCUGGGGCUGUAGUCGGUCCCAAGGGUUGGGCUGUUCGCCCAUUAAAGCGGUACGCGAGCUGGGUUCAGAACGUCGUGAGACAGUUCGGUCCCUAUCCGUCGUGGGCGUAGGAAAUUUGAGAGGAGCUGUCCUUAGUACGAGAGGACCGGGAUGGACAUACCUCUGGUGUACCAGUUGUCGUGCCAACGGCAUCGCUGGGUAGCUAUGUAUGGACGGGAUAAGUGCUGAAAGCAUCUAAGCAUGAAGCCCCCUCAAGAUGAGAUUUCCCAACUUCGGUUAUAAGAUCCCUCAAAGAUGAUGAGGUUAAUAGGUUCGAGGUGGAAGCAUAGCGAUAUGUGCAGCUGACGAAUACUAAUCGAUCGAAGACUUAAUCAAAUUUUA
rnacentral:rRNA from 1 species